AGAGAGAGAGAGAGAGAGAGAGAGGACCCACCCUGUGAUGCAGAUUCUGCAGGGGCGGAUCUAGACUGAUGUUACUGGGGGGCUAAUGUCAAUACAAAAUUCCAACAUAAAAUUAUUUGAAAAAAUGUAUGCACUCAAAGGGACGGUCGUAAUUUUAAGACUAUAUAAAUAUACAUAUAUAAAUAUAUAAUAUAUAUAAAAUAAUGUAUUAUAUUACAUUAUUGCCGCUAAUUUGGAUUAUUAUCAGAUAGGGUAAUAACUUCAUAAUUAACUCCAUCUGAAAGCAGAAGUCUAGGGCAAAUAAUUGCAAGACUCUUCAGCGUGCAUGUCACAAAAUGAGAUGCAUUGAGAUGUAAUGAGAUGAGAUGCAUUGUGGGACAUGUAGUUUAUGGGCAACCUGCUCCUGUAAAUCGGCAUGUAACCGUAUAAUAAACGCAUUAUAUUCUUUGCAAACUCUUGCGGGGCCACAGAAAAUGAAGUCGCGGGCCGGAUUUGUCCCGCGGGCCUUGAGUUUGACAACCCUGUUUUAGGACAUAUAUUUGAAGGCAUACAUUUUAAGUUGUACGUUUAGAGGGUACUUUCUUGAGCACUCUUUAUGGGUGGACUUUAUUGGCAUAUUUUUCAGGGUACACUUUUUAGGGUAUGCUGGUUAGUUGCUGCCAGUUAUUAAUGCGGGACAACAGAAACAUAAUAUGUUUUACUUGCUUAUAUUUUAUUUUUCCUGCACAACUCUUUUUAUUUAAAAAUGUUACAACGUAUUUCUUAGUCCAUAGUUUUUAGGGUCUACUUUUGAUGGCAUCCUUUUUAGGGUUUAGGGCGUACUUUCAUGACAUUUUCAUGUAGUAUUUUUUACCACAUACUUUUGAGGGCGUACUUUAUAAGGUGUACUUUAUAAGCUGUACUUUAUAGGGCAUUAUUUUAUGCCGUAUUUUUUAGGGGUGUACUUUUGUGGCGCAAUUUUUAGGGUGUACUUUUUGAGGUCGUAUUUCUUAGGGUGUAAUUUUGAGGGUGUACUUUUUGGGGCGUAUUUUUGAGGGUGUACUUGUUAGGGUGUACUUUUUGGGCGGUAUUUUUUAGGGUGUAGUGUUUUUUUUAUAGUUUCUAGGUCUUUUUGCCUGAGUCUUCAAACGCAGCGUCGGCCUCUCAGAAUGUGACUGAACCUGUUUAGAGAAUCAGGAAGAGGGCAACACUUCUGUCAGAGAUGUUGAACAGGAAAUCAUUGAUAAUAUAAACGAUGAUAAAGAAGGACCCGGCUUCUGUUUCUGGACACACACUGAAGAGAGGAAAUCAGCAGGUAUUGGGGCCGCCUCCUCCAAGCGUACCUUUAUUUGG